rnacentral:misc_RNA from 1 species
GUAGGUGAACCUGCGGAAGGAUCAUUAUUAGAUACCCACACCCACACCCCCCACUACUUUUUUCAAGGCCAUACUCGGCAAUCCUCUUUUUUAAGACGAUACUCGGCAAGCCGAGUAUAAGAUUAAAGAAGCCGAGUAUCUUCGUAAAGGCGAGAUUGUCACGGCUAGGCAUAAAUACCAAAACCUGACACAACCUCACCCUAAGGAAUCGAAAAAUAAAAAGGCGAGAUUGUUAGGGUUAGGUAAUGUA